GACGUAGGGCGCGAGCGUUGUCCGGAUUUAUUGGGCGUAAAGAGCUCGUAGGCGGUGUGUCACGUCGGCCGUGAAAACCUGGGGCUUAACUCUGGGCGUGCGGUCGAUACGGGCAUCACUAGAGUUCGGCAGGGGAGACUGGAAUUCCUGGUGUAGCGGUGAAAUGCGCAGAUAUCAGGAGGAACACCGGUGGCGAAGGCGGGUCUCUGGGCCGAUACUGACGCUGAGGAGCGAAAGCAUGGGUAGCGAACAGG
rnacentral:rRNA from 1 species